GAAGGUACUCAUAAGAACUUGACACUGGAGGUCACUUUUUAAUGACCAGACCUCUUCCACUGAAAACGACAUCGCAGAAAGCAUUCCAGCUACGGUCAGCCAUCUCAGAAGAAAUGGGAUUGGAUGUUGCUGUUGGAAUUGAAGGUGUUCAAGACCUCAGGAACACACAUUAGACACAUUAGAAGAACUCCUUUUCUACCAAACUAAAUUGUGGUAAUUGGCUUUGAGGUCUUUUGAAUUCCUACAAAUCCGAAAGUUUUUGCCAUUUCUUUUUCUCCUUUUUUAUUUCCCCUUUUCAAGAUCUGCUUAAAAUCUUGUAGA